AUUUUCUGGAAACUGAUGCAUUUUUCAUUUAUUUAUUUGAAACAGAAAUUGUAACAUUAUAAAAUCUUUACUGGCGCUUAUGAUCAAUUUAAUGCAUCAUUGCUGAAAAAAAACAACAACAAAAAACCUUUGUACAGAUUUGAACAUUUCACGUUGCCUAAAAAUUGUUCAAAUAUUAAGAACACUGCAUUUAUAUAUAUUAACAUUAACACAGAUUAAUAAAUUAAAAAAGGGUCUCACUACAUUAUUUAUAAUUAUUGACAGCUUAAAAAAAGCGUUUAAGGCAAUGAAACUUUAAGAUCUCAAUAAGCAAGCUAGACACACUUAGAUUAGACAUCUUAGUUUUUUUAUGUGCAUGCACAUGCAUUUGUAUUAGUUCACAUAUAUAUCUGUCACUUUGUCUCAGCUAUUACCAGCAAAAACCCAGUCCUUUCAGAACACAAUCAACAUAUCCUGUCGAAGCUGCUGACCCAUAUAAAAUGCAUCUCAGUGCACUGCUGGUGUACAAAUUUGUUAUUCAGAAGUCUGCUGAUGUGAAUAUGGGUGAAACGUGAGAACGUGGGAGAGUGCAGAGUUUAAGCGCCCAAGUUAAACAUAUAGUGAUACAGAAGAACCUCUAAAGAACACCUUUCUAGCCCGCCUUUUAUAUUACAUGUGAAAAAAACGAUGAACUGAUAUUACAAAAAGACACGCAUUGCAGAUUUGUCUUCAUUAUAAGAGUUAAAUGUUCUCAAGAUGAUUAUCUACAGUACUCCAGAUUUGUCUCUAUCUAUGUCAAGAUCAGGAAGUUAAAGGCUUCCUCACCAGCCCAUAUAAACAGAAGAAGGUUAGAUGCAGGGCUCAGACACUUGCUGUCCUUUGUGUGUACCAGCUCCGAAGAGCCAUCAGGGAACUUACAUUUUUAUUCUGAAGAUGCAGCUGUCUUUGGUUUUCAGAGCUGUGCUGCUGCUUUACCUGCUUGGCCAUUUAUUAAAUGGUGCUUCUUCUCAGAAAAAGUCUAAAAGAAAUCAAAAAAAGGUAAAGCGGGUCAUCUUGGAUCCAUCUCUGACCUUUCAAUGA
rnacentral:lncRNA from 1 species